rnacentral:lncRNA from 1 species
CUGGCUUUUCACUUCAUGCUAUGUGAUCACAAUUCCUAUUUUGGCCGGGAAAACCUACUUUCCUUAUUUUAAUCAUUCACUUCAUGGAAACCAAUUGGGACACAGAUUUUGACAUAAUUAUGUCUAAUAAAUAUGUUCUUUCAUCUACAAUACAAGGGAAGGAAGCUAGGAGGCUCAUAUACACGUAUUCCAUAUAAUCAAGAAAGCCAUUGGAGAGAAAAUUUAGAAAUUUAUUCAAGCUUUAUAGAGGACUUUUCUAAAAGGCAAAUAUCCACAUCCUUAUUGCUUGGGACUGAAGAAGAAGAAAAUCACGAACCACUAAAUGAAUUCAAGAUUCAGCACAUUUCAUUACAAUACAAGGAGACGAAGCUAGGAGGCUCAUAUACAUGUAUUCCAUAUAAUCAAGAAAGCCAUUGGAGUGAAAUUUAGAAAUUUAUCCAAGAAUUAUAGACAUCUUUUCUAAAAAGCAAAUGUCCACAUCCCAAUUAUUGCUCGGGAUUGAAGAAGAAGAAGAAGAAGAAAAUCACAAACCAUUCGAAUGAAUUCAAGAUUCAACACUCUUUUCGUCUCUCUUCCAAAUUCUUUACUUUUGAGAGACGUAUUUAUUUAAUCG